rnacentral:lncRNA from 1 species
ACCAAUUCAUUCUUUUGAGAAAGCACAGGAAUGUGAAAAGAUGGUUAUCAAGGGCUUUCCUGUUACAGGCUGCUUGCCUGUUGCAGAGGGGUGGGAUGAGAAGAACAGAUGUGGACCCAGAGUGGCUCACUGCUGCUUCCUGUGACUCCAUUUUCCAUGACUCUUCAGCCUUUUCAAGGGCCAUGAGGUUAAGCCGACUGUAGCUUUGACCUUCUUUGUCAGGUUGUCAGAACAAGAACCUUCAUUAUAAAGAAUUGCACUUAUGGGAUAGAGGGCCAAAAAUCCUGGCUUCCCAACCACAGAGAUCACUUGAAUGGCAUCCAUUUCUCAACUGCACUGAAGUCAUAGCCAGUUAUUGAAAUCAAACUUCAUGAAGACCAUGACCUUUCACUCUUGUCAGAGAGAAACAUGUAUUUGGAAUGUGGAUGUGACUCACAGUAGCUGUGCCUGGAGAAAGCAAAAAUUCAUAUGUGCAUUCACUCACUUCACAGACCUACAGCAAGGUGUGUACAGGAGCUCCAAAGUAGCUAUAGAAGUAGCCUGAUUCAGUACAAUUGCAUAUGAAAAACCAGAUUUGGAAGUUUUGGAGGAGGUCAAAAGUAUGGAUGAUGAAUAUGAUGAUGACUUUGAUGUUGGUCAUAUGAACCAAAGUUUCUAUGACAAUGAAAUGGAGGAAAAUCAACCAAUACAGACACAGGGAAUGCAGAUAUCCUUGAUUCAGAUGAUGAAGAGAGCAGCAAUGUAAGUACAUAUUUGACUAGUCAAAAUGGUAGAAAAUUGUCACACAACCAAAUGGAACAAUAAAAUGUUAGAAUUAGGUCUGAAAAUAUAGUGAGGAUCCCUGGGGAUUUAACUCAGUGGCACCACUGCCUGCCUCGCAGGCACAAUGUCCUGAGUUUGAUCCCUGGUUUAAUAUAUAUAUAUAUAAAAUCUUAACAGGGUGAAACCUAUUGGAUGAAAUGCCAGGACUGACUGCCAUUCAGUGUUGGAAAUUGUAACAGAUGAAAUACUACAAGAUGCUGUGAAAUACACAAAUGCUGAAAUACAAUUAAAACAUUCUCUGUGCACCAACAGCCAUACUCAAAACAGUAUUUAUUAUGAUAUCUCAGUAGCUGAACUGAAAGCAUUCAUAGGUCUACUAUACUUAGCAGGGGUUUCUCAUGGUAAUCACAAGAAUGUAAAAGACUUAUGGA